UCUUUUAUUUCAAUUUUCUUUCCCCUUUUUCUUCUCGAUCGGUUUACUCUGCCUCUCAUCUCCCCUUCUCUUCUUCGUCUUCCUCAAACCCUGCGAUUUCCUAUCUCUCAAAUUCCGUUUCGCUCUUCCUAUACCUCCAAAAUUUCGCUCUUCCUCUCUAACGUGAAGCAGCCAAGAAACUCUAUCUUGCGACAUACCCAUCUCGUCGAUCCACCACUUUCUUCUUCUUCUAGCCUUAACGGUGCCGAAAUCAAGGGCCGCAGACCCCCUCGGAAACCCAAGUCUUCCAAAGAAAAUUCUCCACCCUCAGAUCGGUUUUCGAUUCCAAAUCCUGAAGAGCCCGCUUCCACCUAGGCCUCCCUCUUCUAACCCGACCGUUCCUGAGAGUUCGCUAUCACAUACUGCUUUUUUUACCUGUGUUGUUGAAUCCCGAUCCAAGAGACUGGCAGAUGGUUUAAGUAGCUGGUUCCGGAGGCAGAAGCUAACAGGUGCAGCUGGGGAGCGCUUGAAGGAAGCACGCAAUAUCAACCGACCACUCUCACAACUCGGAUCGGAAUGAUGUUGCUCAUCUGAAAGAAAGCAACAUCAUGUGCUUGAAGACUUGUAGAGUAUGGAGAGUGAAUGGUCAAAUUUGAGGAAUCGUAUCUGCUGGCUUUGUAGUCCAAACAGGUUGUCUGGCUAACUUUCUUUUUCUCAUUUUCAACCAAUUAGGAUAGCUGUCAUGUUUUUUGAAUUCCUUGCCAUUGUUGAGUAGUAACUUGGCAUUUGUUUAUUAAAAGGUUUUAAUUAAGAUUAUGGUGUUCAUAACUUUGUAGUCACACUAAAUAACUUAAAAGAGUUAGUUUGACAGUUGACAAACAUGAUAGUAAUGUGAUAGUGAGUGCAAGGGUAAAAAGAGUUGCUUCUGUUGGGUUAAAGUGAUGUUUGUGUUUUUAGUGUGAUGUGUUUUGUUUUCAAGUUCGUUAGUAGACGUAUUACUUAAUUGAAAAUUUUGAUACCGUAGCCAGUGUAGGGGAAGAUGAAUGGAGGUGCUAUUAGACUAGUUAAGACUUAUAUGUAUCCUAAUUUUAGUAAUAUAUAAAAUUGAGAGAAUUUCCUUUGAUUUUCAGGAACAAGGAUGAAUAAUCAAU